CCUACGGGAGGCAGCAGUGGGGAAUAUUGGGCAAUGGGCGCAAGCCUGACCCAGCAACGCCGCGUGAAGGAAGAAGGCUUUCGGGUUGUAAACUUCUUUUGUCAGGGACGAAGCAAGUGACGGUACCUGACGAAUAAGCCACGGCUAACUACGGUCCAGCAGCCGCGGUAAUACGGAGGUGGUAAGCGUUAUUCGGAUUUACUGGGUGUAAAGGGCGUGUAGGCGGGGAGGCAAGUCAGAUGUGAAAACCACGGGCUCAACCUGUGGCCUGCAUUUGAAAAUGUUUUUCUUGAGUGCUGGAGAGGCAAUCGGAAUUCCGGGUGUAGCAGUGAAAUGCGUAGAUAUACGGAGGAACACCAGUGGCGAAGGCGGAUUGCUGGACAGUAACUGACGCUGAGGCGCGAAAGCGUGGGGAGCGAACAGGAUUAGAUACCCCUGUAGUC
rnacentral:rRNA from 1 species